AUCUUUGUUUAGAAAUGUCAAGCGAUUUUGAGUAUUAUUUUGGCUUUGUAGUUGACGAAAUUUACAAGCUUGGACAUACAGUAAAAUCUCGAUGUUUUGACACUUCGAAAAUAUUGUACUGCCUCUGGAGUCAACUCUCAUAGACUUAAGUCCCCACAAAUUACGGUUGAACCCGUCUGAGAGUACUCGAUAUUUGUUCUGAAAUGCCAAGCGAUUCUAUGUAACAUUUUGGUUUUGUAGUGGACAAAUUCUCUUAGCUUCAGCAUACGUACUAUAUGAAUCUCAACUCACAGAUACGGUUUUUAAAAAAACGAGAUACCUGACAGUCUAACAUUUUAAACCAUGAAGUUCUUGACUAUUGGGAACGUUCUAUUUUUUUCAAUUUACACCUAUUACAAACCCUCUUUUUUAACUGGCUGUCGAAUAUCGCCUGAAUAAGCUCCUUUAAAUGAUGGCUUUAUUGCCAACAGUUCAUAGAACUGUAAACUCUGCCAUCACUCGGUAGGUCUUCAGUCACAUAGCCUGGUGACUUCGUCAUGUUAUGUGCUUCCAUGCCCUGGAAAUGUGAACAAAUAUUCAAUCUAGCUAGAGGGCUGGUUAGUUCGGAAAUCCCUUGACAUUUCUACAUGGAUGUCAAGCAUUCUCAUCAGGUUGGAGUUAUAAUUUUGCUGGAAAAUCAGAAAGAAUUUCUGACUGCUGGGUAUAUAUAUAGUUUUCUUCAGUGAAGAACCGUGCCCAUCAGUCUCACAAAUCUUUGCCAAUUUGUGAAUUGCAAACCCGAAACAUUGUAUAAGAUAGUUUGUUGUUUCUGACCAAAGUUCAAAAUACUCAAAUACUUUUGGGAGGUUUCUAAUCAUAACAAUUUAUUUUUGUGGAAAUUAAUCAUCUAUGAAUUUUUGACUGCCGGGUAUCUAGAUUUUUGAACAACCAUGACCGUGAGUCGAAAUUUUUAUAGUAUGCUAAAGCUAAGAGAAUUCGUCCACUAUAAAACCAAAACAUUGUUUAGAAUCGUUUGGUAUUUCUGAACAAAAUUAAUAUAGAAUACUUUCAGAACAUUAAGGUGCAAUCAUAACUAUUUGGGCAAAUUAUGCGCCGCAAGAAUUGAAGUACAGCAAACUACAAAGAAAAGGGUUUACAACGUACCUGAAAUUGCUGUAACCUCUGAAUCAUAAAGCGACUCCUCAAUUUUUCGGUCUGAUCUUCUUUCCCUUCAUUUUACAGGGCAAGUAAUCCCUUCCUUUAGUACGCCGUUAAACUUGUCAAGGACAAUUCAUGUCGUCAGUCUCCACAACACUGAACUGUUUUUCUUCGAUCAACUGAAAACUUCUGCUUCAAUGCAACAGCUUCGAUAUCCAACUCAGCUCUCGAUCAGUUAGAAAUUAGCAGGCCAAGGGUCAGUUACAGUGUAUGCACGUGAUACACUAUAAUUAUUUUGAUUGGCUUAAGCUAACUUGAUUGACAUUUCAGGAUUAAGGAUCAGGUGGGUACAGUAGCAGGUCACGACAGAUUAUUUUGGUCAAAGAUAACUACCAUAUCAAGGCACUCAAGGCACUCUUGUAUUGUUUGCAUCUACAUGCCUCCGUUAACUGGUACUCCGUUAACUGGUAUACUGUACAAAACCCUGAACGUAAAAACUGAAAAUAAUUGUUGCCACCUGACAACCUUGCUGGAUUCGUGUAUUGCAGUUGAUUGAGAUGAACCAGUUUUUACAAAGUCUUUGACAAGGCACUUGCUUUGUCACAAAAGGCAUGCUCUGCACAAAUCAGUUGGCACGUCAUGAAAAUGCAUCCGCUUUUGAUAUUAAAUUUCAUAAGAAAACACAAUUUAUUCAUCUCUGCCAAAAUAACAAGACCUUCGACCAUGACAUUGUCAGUGUUAAUCAAUUUCCUGCACAAGUAGAAUGGCUUUACUGUAUUGCUAAAGAGAUCAACAGACAAUUGUGACAGGUCCAACAGCAAUGUACCACAGAAAUAGAGCAAGUGCUGCAAGCCAAGUAAUUAAGGGUGUUUUUAUAAUUACUGACGGUAAUGUAGGUUUUGUACAUGGGAUUUGAUACCUUUUAUAUCGUGUGCAGUGUCGUCAAUGUCUACGAAGUUCGUUUCGAAAAAUUGAAGGGUUAAGGGUUCUACUAUGUAAUUAUGGCCCAUUACUUAUGAAAUGUCUUGUCAGUCUUUCUAAUAGCGGGGUAAAACUGCACGUCAGUUAAUUUGAAGUUAUCCCAGUUUUGUAUUUAUCGCACGUGGUUGAUGGAAUAACAUCGUACACGGUAGGCUAGUUUCAUCGAUCAUCCAAAUGAGAUAUGAGUGAGCCGUUGAUUUCCCAUGUAUGCCGCGAUGCAGGCCAUAAGCACGCGAUACAGUGGGGAGGAUCUCAGCAAGCUGCAGAACACUUGAAAUGGAUGAAGCAGUUUUUUCCUGGGCCUCUUUAUUACACUAAUGAAACGGCCAAAGAAAAAAAAAAAACCUAGUGAUAAUGUAGUGUAUGUGUAUCUUCCAAGUCCGCAAUUAUUAUAAGAUCUUUAUAUAAAGCAAUCAUUUUUUCUGUAACAAGAUCUCCGGCUUCUGUGUUAAUUACAUCGAGUGGCCUGAUUGCAUUACACGCUCUUAGCAGGUUUCAGAGCUGCAACCAUGAAAAACUUUUGCAGCUUGUGUUUCUUAGGUUUCAGUCGCUAUGUUAAAGUAACUACAAAAAAUAAUGAUGAACUCUGGAAAUGAUGAAAUCUCUGGCUGUUUAAGUCACAUGCAUGUCAAUAUUCUUGAGUCUUUAGUUUCUAUUAUUUUGCAUCAUACACGUACCGAGCGGUAUAGUAACAUCAUGUGCAUGUCUCAUCGAACCACUCCGGCACUUCCAUAAAAUUUGGCAGAUUGGUAGUAACAGAAGAAACAGCGACAACGAACCAAGCUGUUAUCGUUAUUUUAUUUUUCUGCUUCAGUGUUAUUACCGCCGUCAUCGGUCAUGAUCAGUUUUACCCAUAUCUUUUUGAUUUUGCUUCAACAACACAUUCUAAGUUCACUGAGAUAAGCUGAAUUGUUUUUAAGUGUCAAAAUAUGUCGAUUUACUAGCUACAAUCUAGCAAGAUUCCUAGUGUGUAUAUUCUGGUGAUUUAGGGCUACUUAUAAACUGUGCUUUGCAGCUGCUAGCAGCUAUUUCACAGCUAUUGGUGGGCUGCCAGACAGCUGCAAAAUGCUGUGAAGCACUUUGAAGGGCUGCACAGCGUUCUUGCAGCCAGCUGCAACUUUACUUUGGCUGCAGAAAAGCUUGUGAAACACUGCAAAUCGGCUGCAUAUCAGCUGUACAACUAUUUUGAAGCGCUUUUGUGGCGCUGCACAGCGCUGCUUAUUUCGUAUGGGUGUUAUCCUCAACUGAAAGGAUUUGAUGUUAUGCAUGUAGAAGUAGAGCAUGAUUACUUUCUGUUGUUUGGCAGAACAAGUAACACUGAUCAGGCAAACUGAAGCACCUGACAGCAACGUCACUGAAGCUCAAGCUAAAGAAUUCUUGGAAGAUGGAGCAACUGAGGAGGAAAAAGCUCCCAUUAAUGACACAAUGGAGGAUGCUGAUGAUUUGCUGGAGAUGAUGGAGUGACAGUGACAACAGCGCACAGAAGGCAAUAGCAUGUGCCCGAGUAUACAGGACUUCAAAAUUGGAUGUGUGUCAAUGCACAAAGAAAAAUGAGCAUGUCUUAGCAAACAUCAUUUCUUUGUAAACGAGUAAGGAAUAUAAUAUAGUUCAAUUGCCGAGGUAACUUUCAGUGACUGCAACUGCAUUAGUUCGCAAUUAUCUUUUGGAGGGUUUGGAUGAAUGCAAGAACACAAAGUGUGCUUGAAGGACUUGAUUAAAUAAUAUUGAUGAUCAGUGACAUUUAGUUAUAGUUUAACUUAAUUACCACUUACACCGGCAGAUAAUCUGUACUCACAGAUGAGCCAAACCCAGAGUUAGGCAACUGAUAGGAGAAAUGCAACUAUAUUAUUAAUUUACAAGUUCAAAAUUAUGUUAUUUGUAAUAAUUACUAUCUUGUUGAAAUGUGUAAAGUUACAUGACUUGUAUGUAUUUUGGUUCAAUAAUUAUACAGCCUUUAUGAAAGCAGUCAAGAUUA
rnacentral:lncRNA from 1 species